GAGCGUGUAGUUCAGUGGUAGAACGCUGUCCUGAUAAGACAGAGGCCGAUGGUUCGAUCCCAUCCACGCUCACAA
rnacentral:tRNA from 1 species